UUAUACUUGCAUUGUAGUGCAAUUAUACCACAGUUACGCUUGUGCAAAUAUAACGUUUUAGAUAUUGUAGGAAAAAAUCACUUGAGUGGUGUACAGGCACUCCCAAAAACAAAAAGACCAUAUGUACGAUAGGACCAGAACACAAACGGUUUUGAUCUGUUGCUAAUGCUCCCUAGCUGGAUGAAAUAAUCAAUUGAGACACCGAAGAGAUGAAAAUUGUGUCAUUAUCUCACUCAGUCUCUGUAAUGAAGCAAACACAAUUCCAUGUGAUCUCUGAUGAAGCAUACUGUUCCUAACGUCUCCACAUGCCGAGAGUUUGAUCACCCCCCUUGAUCACCCAAACAAAUUUGUUUGUUACAAAUAUGAGUAUAUGCAACUAGUAAAGCAUUGCUAAGCAGUGUCGUAAUUGACUAGGGAUUCAUACGUAAUUAUUGGUUACAAAUAAACAGGAUAUUGAAUGAUCAAGGUAAGGCACAAUAAGUAGGUACUGAUUAUUGCGUGCAAUUUUGUUUGUCAAUAAAUCGUUUAACUUGCCUUGCUCAAGCUCCUGUGGAGUCAAAUCUUCAGUCAACUCCCCUCCCUCGCAGUCAGUAAGUGCGAACAAAAAUAAGCAAGAAGGAGAGACAACUGCAAAUCACCCAAAAAAAAACAUAAUAAACUAGCCAUAACACACAAGAGAAGAUCCAAAGGGAGGCAAACACAAAGCAAAUAAAGCCAUACGGUUUUUUGUGAAUGAAGUAGUCAUUUACUUUGCUAAACAUUGGUUUCACUAAAUUAAUUACCAAAGGUUUAGAAUCUAACCUAGGGUAUCAAAAUAACCUUUAAUAGAAUAGGUUAUAAGGCAUUAAACAGGUCAAGGAUAUGACAGGAGAUGGAUAGGAACCAAAAUAGUUGAGGGAUAGCGAAAGAAUGAUCAAAAGGGUGUAAAUUUAGGUUAGUUUACAAUUUUUUUUUAAAAAAACAUCACAUCGGAUAUACGGACACAUAUUUAAAGUAUUACAUGUAGUAUAAUUGCAAAAUAAAUUACAGAUUCCACCAAGAUACUGCGAGACGAAUCUUUUAAGCCUAAUUAAUCCGUCAUUAAUACAUGUAGGGUACUAUAGCACUUAUGACUAAUCACGUACUAAUUAGGCUCAAAAGAUUGGUUUGACGAUUUACCCUAUAACUGUGUAAUUACUUUCAAUAUUCAUUUAUAUAGAAUGCUCUGUUUAGGUUUCAAAAAAUUCAAUAUGAUAUUUUUAGGAAAACUUUUUGAAAACUAAACAGAGCCUUAUCCUUGUUCUCCCUUACCAGAGAGAGCAAAUAGGCAUAGACUGGUGUCAGGCUCAUGGACGGCGUUGGGCUUGGGGCGGAUCUUGGGCGUCGGAUUGGCACUAAUUGAGCCGAGAUGGGGGUGCACAAAGAGAGGGCCAGGCUGGGAGAGGGGUCGAGCCCUAAAUUUAUUUGUUUCAUUUCUCACAGAUUAUUCAAAUGAACUCAAAUACUCCGGUGUUUCGAAAUCCUAUGGUAAUUCAUAAGGCAUGCAUGAUACUCAAUAUCUAUUUUUUUUCUUAAUUUUUUAUGUAACUUGGGAAUCACGCGUCAAGGAGCCCCAGCUGUUAUACUUGCCCGGACGCCAAAUUAAUUUACCAGCUCUCUAGCUCAUCAGUAUCAAGCCAAGCCCGUGUGAAAUGUAUCUGCACUAUAUAUAUACUUUAGGAUAUCCAAACUGCAUAUCGUCUGAGCUCGAACGCAUUGCCAAGAAUAUGGACGAUCGAUCGGUGGCUUGAGAUUUAGUAUUUAGCUUUCCAUUCCACUAGGCAUGCAUCGAUGUGCUGCGUACGUAAUCAUUUCACGCCUCAACGACCUUGACUAUCAGUCAACCUUAUGGAAAUAAGAGGAAGGAUCGAUACACUAGGAUCUCGUUGCUACCAUAAGGCCUAGUAGGGUUGGCAGUACGUGGCCACCACCAUUGCUGUCGCGUUUAUGGAGGACGAGGGAAGCCAUCACUAUAGCACUAAGGAAGGAUGAGGAAGGCCGCAUUCGCCACCCCAAGUUAGUUAACUAAGCCUCCCUCAUUUUUCAUGCGCAGGCUUCCUAAACCGUUAAACGGUGUAUUUUUUGCAAAAAAUUUCUAUAAGAAAGUUGUUUUAAAAAAUCAUAUUAAUCUGUUUAUAUUUUUUUGAUAAUUAAUAAUUAAUUAAUCAUGUACUAAUAUAUUACUACGUUUUCCGUACGAGUGCAUAAGUUAACUUAUGCAUGCAUACCAAACGUGGCCAAAGUGUCACUGUCGUAAGUGGCGUACGUAGGAUAGAAAGUUAUGUCAUCUGACUUAUAUAGUUUUUAAAAUACUAUGAAAUUAAUUAAAAUAUUAUGAUCACAUUUUAUUAACGGAGAGUUUUUCUUUUUUUUCUCUUUAUCACAUCUCUUUACGUACAUACGUGUCUUAGAUUAUGGUGGUACUGGCCCCUGGAUAUGCCAAUGACCAUCCUCACCACCAAGGGAGGAUGGAGUGCACUGAUGUCGUUGCUGCUGAGGAUAUAUGGCUAAGGCUGCGUUCGGCACAACAUCUUCUUAACCCCAUAUUUCCUCUCUUUUUCGCGCGCACGCUUCCGAAUUGCUAAACGGUAUAUUUUUUUAAAAAAAAUUUAUAGGAAAGUUGCUUUAAAAAUCAUAUUAAUCUAUUUUAUAUUUUUAAGUAUUUAAUAAUUAAUUAAUCAUGUACUAAUCUAUCACUACGUUUUUCGUGCCAGGCUGACUUACCCCUCCUUCACCUCUGCCGAACACGGCCUAAGUGUGUUGCAAGUUGGGGCGGGAGGGGGACAAGAAGAAAGCAUUUGCGAUGUUAUUGUCGAGGGAGGAACUGACCGUCUCUUUUGAGGAGGAUGUGCGAGAGCAAUAUAAGACUUCACUGAUGCCCGACGGAGAAUGCGAUGGGGAUUGGGCUGGCUCAAUGAAUAUCUACACCAACUUACAUCUUAGCCCUUCUACUUCAUAAAUAUUACUAUUUCAGUAUUGGGCAUAAACCGCAUGGUACCGAAGAGUGUCGGCUAGUACCGACGGCUAUCAUCUUCUAGUCAACAAGUACACUAUCUGCUGCCAACGGUAUCGCAUGAUACCAUGAUAUCAUUAUGUAUCAUAUUUAUACGAAAAUUUAAUACCUACUCAGUACCAUCCGGUUUCAAGAUGAGCCAGGAUAUUGUACAAUAACAGCUUCUUUGCACAAUAUUUUCACGCACCCUCAAAUAGCCCAUAGUGCAUGAGACACUAAUGUCUGAUAUGCAAUAAUAUGGAGAAUAUGCUACGCACGUUGGGUAGUGGUGAAUUCAUGCCCUUCGUCCCGCAGAAUGAAAAUUAAUGGCGGUACGGUAGGCAUGUAUUUACUUGAAAUAAUUUUAUAUGUCAAUUAGGUGGUGAGUGCCCAGGCCUGUCUAGUGUCUACCACUACCAUUACGCACAUACCUCGCGUCCAUUUAACAUAUCUACUUCUCUAAGCGAACAGACUGACAAAUAGGAAAUGCGAUUUUUUUUAUCUUCAGCAUAUGACUUUGACAAUAAAUUUUUAGUACAGUGAAGAAAUAAAGUUUAAUUUUACCAUCUUUGUGAAAGUAUACUUAGGUAACAAAAUUGUGCGUUAAAAUUUUGGUAUUUCGAGAUAUAUUGUACAACUGGGUAUCAAAUUUUGGUAAUUUUUACCAUACUUGAGAAAGUAUAUCUGGAAGCUGAAAUUUAUGCUCAAAAUUUUGGUACCUCGAGAUGUAAAGUAACUGAAUGCAGCAAAUUUUACUCUAGAAUGAAACCUUCCAUUAUUUUCUCAAGGAUGAUAAAAUUGCUCCCAAAUUUUAUACUAAGAAAUGUGGCAACUCACGGUAGUUUCUCAAUUAUAGUAAAAUUGUCCAUGAAUAAAAUUCAAUAAAUUCUUUCUAUGGGAAAUCAUGAGGCCAUAACAGUUUUAUGAUUUUAAGUUAAGCGUUUUUUGAGGAUCAAUAUAUUAAAGUUUUGAAUAAAAAGGUCCAAAUCUCUGGGUGCAUAUAUAUAUAGAGAUAUAUAUCUGCGUGUAUAUAUGGCCAAACAACGAAAACACACAGAGAAACACGAGCAAGUUAAGGAGUGCAAAGCUAGUGAUGAUAGGCGUGAUGGGUCUUACUAGUUCAAAAACCAAACAACAAAAUUACAAAUAAAAAAUAAUUUAUUAAUAAACUUUUAUAUACAUGUUCUCAGCAAUUUAAAGCCAAGAUUAAAAAAUAAACUAGAAUAAAAAAACUCAAAAUCUACUUUACAAGGUAUGCAUGAUUAAGCCGGUAAUUAUGUGCUUCAAUAGUUUACUUAAUUAGCGAUGGCAUAUCAAUAGAAAGAGUUGAAUACAUUUUAUCGGAAAAAAUAAAAAUCAACAAUCAGCAAUUAGGAUUACAUAGAGGUGUGUUAGCUCAGAAGAGGUAAAGAUUCAAUAGCGAGUUUUACUCCCAUCCUCCUUUUGUAUCUCAAGAUAUCGGUACCUUGAGAUACUAAAUUGUUUCUCACUAUUGGAUCUAGCUAAGUAGGCUGUGCAUCGUUUGAUCCAACGAUAAAAACAAUUUAGUGUUGUGAGGUACCGAUAACUCGAGGUACAAAAGAAAGGAUGGGAGUAAAACCCUUCAAUAGCACCAGCUAUGGAAGUGCGCACUCCCUAGUCGUGACGGUCUUCUUCCUCGCUCGCUGGAUUAGCUUGACUCGGAGUAGUUCGGACAUCAUGGAGAAGGUAUUCAAAGUUUCUAUGAUGGCUGGUGGCUGCACUGAGCACACAGCAAAUUUGAUCCCAGGAGAUAAUGUUAGCAGCGCGCCGUACGUCCGCCUCCGCCUAUACAUGGCCAAAGAUGCAAGAGCGCGCUCGCACACUUGAGGUGCUAGUGAUCAAUCGAUCGAUCAUGGGUCUUCUACCUCCUCGGAUUACCACCUUGCUAACAAUGGCCAUCACGUCGUGUACUUUGUUAGCAGCCAUGGCGGCUGAUCACCGGAGCAACGACACCGACCUCGCGGCGCUGCUCGCGUUCAGAGCACAGGUGGCUGACCCGGACGGCAUCCUUGCUGAGGGAUGGAGCGAGAACGCGUCCUUCUGCCAGUGGGUCGGCGUGUCGUGCAGCCGGCGCCGGCGGCAGCGCGUNNNNNNNNNNNNNNNNNNNNNNNNNNNNNNNNNNNNNNNNNNNNNNNNNNNNNNNNNNNNNNNNNNNNNNNNNNNNNNNNNNNNNNNNNNNNNNNNNNNNNNNNNNNNNNNNNNNNNNNNNNNNNNNNNNNNNNNNNNNNNNNNNNNNNNNNNNNNNNNNNNNNNNNNNNNNNNNNNNNNNNNNNNNNNNNNNNNNNNNNNNNNNNNNNNNNNNNNNNNNNNNGGCGGCAGCGCGUCAGCGCCCUCGUCCUGCCGGACACGCCGCUCCAGGGCUCCAUCGCGCCCCACCUCGGUAACCUCUCGUUCCUCACCGUCCUCAACCUCACCAACGCUAGCCUGACGGGCUCCAUCCCAGCCCAGCUGGGAAGGCUGGCUCGCCUGAGACAUCUUGAUCUCGGCCUCAACGCCUUGUCAGGCUCCAUCCCAUCCACCAUUGGAAACCUCACGAGGCUCCAAUCUCUCAUCCUCGUUAGAAACGGCCUCUCGGGCCAGAUGCCAUCAGAGCUGCAGAAGCUGCAAGAUCUCAGGCAGAUCAACAUACAGGCGAAUUAUAUAAGUGGCACCGUACCAAACUAUUUGUUCAGCAACUCGAGCACUGUCUUGAGACUCAUAAACUUGGGCAACAACACCCUGUCAGGGCCCAUACCCAGCGGCGUGAUUGGCUCCAUGCCCAUGCUGCAGGCCUUUGUUCUUCAGUUCAACCAAUUCUCCGGCUCACUGCCCCCAGCCAUCUCCAACAUGUCCAGGCUUGAAAAGCUGUACGCCACUGGAAACAACCUCACUGGGCCUAUCCCAUUCCCAGCCGGAAACCAGAGCUCUGGCCUCCCCAUGAUUCAAAUAGUGUCCCUCUCCUUGAACAGAUUCACUGGCAGAAUUCCACCUGGACUUGCGGCGUGCAGGAAUCUCCAGCGACUUGAUCUGAGUGAAAAUCUUCUAGCAGAUCGUGUGCCGGAAUGGUUGGCGGGCCUGUCGCAGCUCAGCCUUCUCUCUCUCGGUGGAAAUAGUGGAAAUGACAUCGCCGGCUCUAUCCCAGCCGCGCUGAGCAAUCUCACCAAGCUCACCAUACUUGACCUGUCAUUCUGUAACCUAAAUGGAACGAUUCCAGUCGAGCUGGGAAAGAUGACACAGCUCACGUAUCUGAGCCUCUUGGCUAAUCAGCUAACUGGUCCUUUUCCUACUUUUGUCGGUAACCUGACUCGAUUAACUUUCCUGGGUUUAGAAAGGAACCUGCUCACCGGAGCUGUACCUGGAGGCGUUUUUGGGAACCUCAGAUGUCUUAACUUCCUUGGCAUUGGAGAAAAUCUUCUGAAUGGAAAACUUGACUUCUUUGCCGCUCUCUCCAACUGCAGCCAGCUCCGACGCCUGAUCAUAGAAAUGAAUUCUUUCUCAGGGACCAUUCCUGAAGGUUUACUUGCAAACCUCUCUCCCAAUUUAGAGUCUUUGUAUGCAGGCAGUAACAACUUGACUGGCAGUAUUCCGGCCACCAUAUCCAAUCUAAGUAGCCUGAGUACACUAAUCCUUCAUGACAAUCAAAUAAGCGGCACAAUUCCUGCUUCUAUUGUGUCAAUGGAAAAUCUAGAGUUAUUGGACCUCUCCAUAAAUAGUAUGUUUGGAUCAAUCCCAACUCAAAUUGGUACCUUUAAAAGUAUUGAGGUAUUAUAUAUCAACCACAACCAAUUUACUGGUUCCAUUCCUAUGGGUAUCAGCAACCUUAGCACUUUGCAAUACUUAUCGUUGUCAUAUAAUUGCUUAUCAUCAGGUAUACCCGCAAGCCUAGCUAAUCUUACUAAUCUUCUCCAACUAAAUUUAUCUCAUAAUAACUUAACUGGUACAUUGCCUUCUAAUCUCAACCCAAUGAAGGCAAUCGAUAUGUUAGACAUCUCUGCAAACAAUUUGGUUGGUAGCCUCCCAACUUCGUUUGGCCAGCUCCAACUGAUAAGCUACCUGAAUCUAUCUCAGAAUAUGUUGACCGAUUCCAUUCCAAACUCAUUCAAAGGUCUAGUUAAUUUAGAAACAUUGGAUCUGUCCUGUAACAAUCUUUCUGGUGGAAUACCAAAGUACUUUGCCAACUUAAGCUAUCUUACAUCUUUGAACCUCUCCUUUAAUAAUCUACAAGGUCAGAUACCAAGUGGAGGUGUUUUUUCAAACAUCACUCUGCAGUCCUUGAUGGGAAAUGCUGGACUGUGUGGUGCUCCACGUCUUGGAUUUUCGCCAUGUCCGGGAAGCUCUUAUUCAGCUAACAGAAAACACUUUCUGAAGUUUGUGCUCCCUGCUAUCAUUGUUGCAUUUGGUGCCACUGUUGUGCUCUUAUACAUAGCCAUUGGAAAGAAGAUGAAAAGGCCAGAUCUUACUGCUGCUUUUGACAUAGCUGAUGUGAUUAGUCAUCGGUUAGUAUCGUACCAAGAAAUCGUCCGCGCAACCGAAAAUUUCAACGAGGACAACCUACUUGGAGUUGGUAGUUUUGGCAAGGUUUUUAAGGGUCGACUGGAUGAAGGUUUGGUGGUUGCAAUCAAAGUCCUCAACACGAAUGUUGAAAGAGCUAUGAGGACAUUCGACGCAGAGUGCCAUGUCUUGCGGAUGGCCAGGCAUCGCAACUUGAUAAAGAUAUUAAACACGUGUUCCAACCUGGAUUUCAGAGCACUGCUACUUCAGUUCAUGCCUAAUGGUAGCUUGGAGUCAUACUUGCACAGUGAGAGCAGGCCUUGUGUGGGAUCAUUCCUCGAACGGAUGAAUGUUAUGCUAGAUGUGUCAAUGGCUAUGGAAUAUCUGCACCAUGAGCACUGCGAGGUUGUCCUCCACUGCGAUUUGAAACCUAGCAAUGUGCUAUUUGAUGAAGACAUGACUGCACACGUAGCAGACUUUGGCAUAGCAAAGAUGCUGUUAGGGGAGGACAAUUCAGCGGUUUCAGCAAGCAUGCCAGGGACAAUUGGGUACAUGGCGCCAGGUACAUGCACUCAUUAGUCUGUUUUGUUUUCCAUGAAACAGAUGGUUUAUUCUAAUCUUGAACAAACACAUUCUGUUGACUUACUAAAUUUCUGUCACAGAGUACGCGUUCAUGGGAAAGGCGUCACGGAAGAGCGACGUGUUCAGCUUCGGAAUCAUGUUGCUCGAGGUCUUUACUGGGAAGAGGCCUACAGAUCCCGUGUUCAUUGGUGGACUGACCCUAUGGCUGUGGGUUUCUCGAUCUUUUCCAGAGAAUCUUGUUGAUGUUGCAGAUGAUCACAUGCUGCAAGAUGAAGAAACGCGUCUUUGUUUCGAUCAUCAGAACACUUCCAUGGGAUCUUGCUCGACUAGCAGGAGCAACAGCUUCCUUGCGUCGAUAUUUGAGCUGGGCCUGCUGUGUUCGAGUGAGUCACCUGAGCAGAGGAUGGCAAUGAACGAUGUCGUUGCAAAGCUGAAAGGGAUCAAGAAGGAUUACUCUGCAUCUAUGCUGGCAAUGCAAAGGCAUCGACAGUAAUAGAUCAACCAGUUUGUGAUUUGUAUGCCAGUUUAGUUUGGGUUUCCAUAGUUCUUCAAAGCAAAACCUGGCAUCAUUUAUUUACCCCAUCAUAUCAGGCAUGACCGCAUGAUACAGUCUAUAUAUUGAAAAUCGCAGAGUUGUAGCAUGCACUCUGUUUUCAGAUAAUGUUUGUAUUUUCAUUGAUGGACAUUGAAACUUUGAAAGUAAUCCGAGUUGGCGAUCAACAGCAUCUAUCCAUGCAUGCAUGGUUUCAUCUGUUUGACAAGAUUUCUCGGUGAAUUUUUAGUACAAGUAGCGAGACCAACACACGAUUCUGUUUCUUGGUUUGUACUAACUUCACUGGUCAACCAAACAUAUGCUGACAUGCAUGAUGCUGGUCUAAGCAAUGACUGGUUGAGAUCACUCCUUGAAAAUGUAGUUUGUGUUGAUUAAAUCUGUUACAACUUGAUUUCUCCAUGAUUCAGUGCAUUUCAUCAUUGUGAGCUUAAUGAAAGAUGAAAGAUUUUCUAACUUUUGUUAAAUCUAUUCUAAUAAUAAGCUAUGGAAUUUUCCCCGUACAACAUGUUGUACCUAGUGUUAGAUUGAUCUCCAGCCCUUUAGCCUAGGAGCCUUGAUCGCGCCCUGAUCGGGGGCGUCCAGCCCAAUUGGCUGGUGGGCCCCUGUCACAUGCGCUAUAUAAACACAGAGGGUGGAGGCCGGCUCGGCAUGGAAAACCAAGUUCGUCGCCACCGCAACUCCACCCUAACCGAUCUAGGGCGAGCGCAACCAGUGACGGCAAUCGCCACCGCCGCGCCUCGACCUCGCCGGGACCACUAUGACCGAGACCUCACUGGGGCUUCACUGACAACCGCCGUCGCUAUCAGCACCAAGCCCAAAUCGACGACAAUGGCCGGUUCCUCCUCCUCGGCAAGUGGCUCCACUGGUCUGUGCCUAACCUUAAUCCGUUUUACUACCCGUGUAAAUGUUGUUCUACCAUGCCAAUAGAAUACCCGAUCAAUGCUACAACCCUAGAUGAUCCAAAUAGAAACCUAACAAUGGUAUGAGAGCCUUGCCUAGGGUUUAGAUUGUUUUUGGGAUUGAGAAAUCAUAGAGAAAACGAGAGGGGAUUCGAUCUACAAAAGAAAAUUAAAAGCAAAUAGAAAGAAAAGAGACAGAUGGAAAGGGUAAACCCUAACCUCCGUCACUGCCACCGGGACGUCGUUGACGUCGGGCGGUUUUCCCUCCGCCUUCACCGCCGUGACCACGCUCGGGGUGGCCGACGUCGCCCGCCGCGGGGGCGUCGCCGCAUCGGGUCGAGGAGGAACAGAAAAGGGGCCGGCCGCGCUGGGGUCCAGCGCCGCCGUGAGGCCGUUCAACUGCAGCACACACACCCGUAGGCCGACGCGCGCACCGACAAGAAGCCGCAUGGGCGCACCGCCACCUUCAUCGCCGCCUUCUCGCUCUCUCUCGCAUACGGUGGGGGAAGAUGAGAGAUGGUGGGUGAAGGGGGAGAAGAGAAAAGAAUGGCGCAAGCGGCCGGUGCGAGGUCGCCGGGGAAUCACCGGCGAUGGCGCCGCACGCGAGAGAGGUGUAUGAACUAGUGUUAGGGUUGGUCGGGCGGCGGCGGCUGGGUUGGUGGUUUUGUUUCCCCGAUCUGGCUGGCCGGGCGUUC
rnacentral:lncRNA from 1 species